AUUGAACGCUGGCGGCAGGCCUAACACAUGCAAGUCGAGCGGAUGAAGGGAGCUUGCUCCUGGAUUCAGCGGCGGACGGGUGAGUAAUGCCUAGGAAUCUGCCUGGUAGUGGGGGAUAACGUCCGGAAACGGGCGCUAAUACCGCAUACGUCCUGAGGGAGAAAGUGGGGGAUCUUCGGACCUCACGCUAUCAGAUGAGCCUAGGUCGGAUUAGCUAGUUGGUGGGGUAAAGGCCUACCAAGGCGACGAUCCGUAACUGGUCUGAGAGGAUGAUCAGUCACAUUGGAGCUGAGACACGGUCCAGACUCCUACGGGAGGCAGCAGUGGGGAAUAUUGGACAAUGGGCGAAAGCCUGAUCCAGCCAUGCCGCGUGUGUGAAGAAGGUCUUCGGAUUGUAAAGCACUUUAAGUUGGGAGGAAGGGCAGUAAGUUAAUACCUUGCUGUUUUGACGUUACCAACAGAAUAAGCACCGGCUAACUUCGUG
rnacentral:rRNA from 1 species